rnacentral:tRNA from 1 species
GUGCCCUUAGCUCAGCUGGAUAGAGCAACAGCCUUCUAAGCUGUAGGUCAGACGUUCGAAUCGUCUAGGGCACACCA